rnacentral:rRNA from 1 species
GACGAACGCUGGCGGCGUGCUUAACACAUGCAAGUCGAGCGGUAAGGCCUUUCGGGGUACUCGAGCGGCGAACGGGUGAGUAACACGUGGGCGAGUUGACCUGCACCUUGGGAUAAGCCUGGGACACUGGGUCUAAUACCGGAUAUGACCUUCUAUCGCUGGGUGGGUGGUGGAAAGAUUUAUCGGUGCAGGAUGGGCCCGCGGUCUAUCAGCUUGUUGGUGGGGUAAUGGUCUACCAAGGCGCCGACUGGUAGCCGACCUGUGAGGGUGACCGGCCACAAUGGGACUGAGAGACGGCCCAGACUCCUACGGGAGGCAGCAGUGGGGAAUAUUGCACAAUGGGCGAAAGCCUGAUGCAGCGACGCCGCGUGAGGGAUGACGGCCUUCGGGUUGUAAACCUCUUUCAGCGGGGACGAAGCGCAAGUGACGGUACCUGCAGAAGAAGCACCGGCUAACUACGUG